AUGAACGCUAGCUACAGGCUUAACACAUGCAAGUCGAGGGGCAGCAUGAACUUAGCUUGCUAAGUUUGAUGGCGACCGGCGCACGGGUGAGUAACACGUAUCCAACCUGCCGAUGACUCGGGGAUAGCCUUUCGAAAGAAAGAUUAAUACCCGAUGGCAUAGUUCUUCCGCAUGGUAGAACUAUUAAAGAAUUUCGGUCAUCGAUGGGGAUGCGUUCCAUUAGGUUGUUGGCGGGGUAACGGCCCACCAAGCCUUCGAUGGAUAGGGGUUCUGAGAGGAAGGUCCCCCACAUUGGAACUGAGACACGGUCCAAACUCCUACGGGAGGCAGCAGUGAGGAAUAUUGGUCAAUGGACGAGAGUCUGAACCAGCCAAGUAGCGUGAAGGAUGACUGCCCUAUGGGUUGUAAACUUCUUUUAUACGGGAAUAAAGUGAGGCACGUGUGCCUUUUUGUAUGUACCGUAUGAAUAAGGAUCGGCUAACUCCGUGCCAGCAGCCGCGGUAAUACGGAGGAUCCGAGCGUUAUCCGGAUUUAUUGGGUUUAAAGGGAGCGUAGGCGGACGCUUAAGUCAGUUGUGAAAGUUUGCGGCUCAACCGUAAAAUUGCAGUUGAUACUGGGUGUCUUGAGUACAGUAGAGGCAGGCGGAAUUCGUGGUGUAGCGGUGAAAUGCUUAGAUAUCACGAAGAACUCCGAUUGCGAAGGCAGCCUGCUGGACUGUAACUGACGCUGAUGCUCGAAAGUGUGGGUAUCAAACAGGAUUAGAUACCCUGGUAGUCCACACCGUAAACGAUGGAUACUAGGUGUAGGAAGCGAUUAUGUUUUCUGUGCCGUCGCAAACGCAGUAAGUAUCCCACCUGAGGAGUACGGCCGCAAGGUUGAAACUCAAAGGAAUUGACGGGGGCCCGCACAAGCGGAGGAACAUGUGGUUUAAUUCGAUGAUACGCGAGGAACCUUACCCGGGCUUGAAUUGCAACUGAAUGAUGUGGAGACAUGUCAGCCGCAAGGCAGUUGUGAAGGUGCUGCAUGGUUGUCGUCAGCUCGUGCCGUGAGGUGUCGGCUUAAGUGCCAUAACGAGCGCAACCCUUAUCGAUAGUUACCAUCAGGUUAUGCUGGGGACUCUGUCGAGACUGCCGUCGUAAGAUGUGAGGAAGGUGGGGAUGACGUCAAAUCAGCACGGCCCUUACGUCCGGGGCUACACACGUGUUACAAUGGGGGGUACAGAAGGCAGCUACACGGCGACGUGAUGCUAAUCCCUAAAGCCUCUCUCAGUUCGGAUUGGAGUCUGCAACCCGACUCCAUGAAGCUGGAUUCGCUAGUAAUCGCGCAUCAGCCACGGCGCGGUGAAUACGUUCCCGGGCCUUGUACACACCGCCCGUCAAGCCAUGGGAGCCGGGGGUACCUGAAGUGCGUAACCGCGAGGAUCGCCCUAGGGUAAAACUGGUGACUGGGGCU
rnacentral:rRNA from 1 species